rnacentral:lncRNA from 1 species
UAAGCACCUACAAUAAGCCCAUGUGUCACAGCGACCCUAUUUCCAAUAGGGAGGUAGGCCGAGCUUUUUGUCUUCUUUUCUGUAAUAUCGAAGGUGACAGAGUCUACCCAUUUAUGCAUUGCAAAUUUCCCUUUUUAUUUCCAGAUCAAAUAAAUGGAUGCUGAGUGUCACAGCCAUCCUGAUUCCUAAAGGAAGCCAAGCCAAACUGGAUUGGCUUCUCUUGUAUUUAUGCAGAAGAGACAGAGUAAAGUAAAUACCUUCCGUGUAUUGCAUAUUUUAUGGAUCACUAAGAGACAUUAAUUUAUGUAGUAUUACCUUAUGUGAAGAUUCAAACGAGAUUUGUAGAUUCAAAAUUAAGAUGGGUAGAGGGAGGAGACAAUGCUUAGAAGUAGCUGAUAUAAUGUACAGUUCAAGAUCGAAAUCACGUUACUGUUCAAGAGGACGAGACUCCUCUUGUUCCCCUCAUCUCAUGCUAGAUAUUGGGCAUAUCCCUUCUCGUUUUUACACUCCAUGUUGCUUGCUUCUCGCAAUGUCUGUACACAUAUUCUGGUUUCUUCAUUUCUGAACAUUCUUGUUUGGUGUUUCAGAUUCAUAGAGCGUAGAUUACAAAAUCAACAGCAGAUUGCUUCGAAGAAUUGAAGCUGUUCUGGCUAACCAAACUUUGUGCAAAGAUCUGCUGUCUACCUCCAGCCUGGUAAAUUCCCGCCUGGUAUCAUCCGCAGAAAACAUAGAUGAUGAAAUUCUGGGGAUCAUGCGGAGGAAGCGCCGCCGUUCUGGGGGUGCCUCGGGGGAAUCAAGCAAUGUUCUUGCUUUGCCUAAAGAUUCUGAAGUUCCUAAACCUGUUUCUCUAUUGAAGACACUCCCUCAUUCUCGCACUGAUGUGGGUGGGCUGAGUGGCACGGCUGCUGCAAAGUUCCGUGUCUUCCGCUCCUCUGGUCGAGUCAACAAAGUCACAGCUAUAUGAGUGAGCAGACCAUCUUUUUCCCAAUUACAAUGACUACGCCACACUGGUGAAGAAGAAGGAUAUUGAAGAUGUUGUUCCAAGGUCAGAUUAUACCCCAAUCAAGAAUCACCAAAAUCAGUCCAAUCUCUCUGAUAAUUGACCAAAAAUGAAAUAGUAAAUCAAACACACACACAGAUGAAUCACACAGAAACAACAAUCAAGGGACAACAAAUUUAAGUGGUUCGGCUGGAGAUAGCCUAUAUCCACUGAAGAACAGAGCAGCAGCUUUUAUUCACUUACUGAUAACAAGAUACAAGCUAAAAAGAUGAAGUUACAUGCUUUCAUUCUCUGGAAAUCAAUCCUUCUAAGACUAUAUAUAUAGAACCAGAGGAUUCUAGAAUGAUUCCCCAUUCAUCAGCUUUGUUCUGGUUUGUUACAACUGAAUCCAGGUCUUUCCCGCUCUUGAUAACAGCCAAUAACGGUUUUAGACAUGUGCUGCUCUCGUGCUUAGAAAUAAGUGAGAUCAAAGCGCUCUUACAGAGUGUCGUUUUAGGCUAAGCUUUACGUGUAAAUGCACGUGACAAACACAUGCUUUACCUAUGAAGCUCGGCUGACAGGAAAUAGUG